rnacentral:rRNA from 1 species
GCCCAUAAGACUGGGAUAACUCCGGGAAACCGGGGCUAAUACCGGAUAACAUUUUGAACUGCAUGGUUCGAAAUUGAAAGGCGGCUUCGGCUGUCACUUAUGGAUGGACCCGCGUCGCAUUAGCUAGUUGGUGAGGUAACGGCUCACCAAGGCAACGAUGCGUAGCCGACCUGAGAGGGUGAUCGGCCACACUGGGACUGAGACACGGCCCAGACUCCUACGGGAGGCAGCAGUAGGGAAUCUUCCGCAAUGGACGAAAGUCUGACGGAGCAACGCCGCGUGAGUGAUGAAGGCUUUCGGGUCGUAAAACUCUGUUGUUAGGGAAGAACAAGUGCUAGUUGAAUAAGCUGGCACCUUGACGGUACCUAACCAGAAAGCCACGGCUAACUACGUGCCAGCAGCCGCGGUAAUACGUAGGUGGCAAGCGUUAUCCGGAAUUAUUGGGCGUAAAGCGCGCGCAGGUGGUUUCUUAAGUCUGAUGUGAAAGCCCACGGCUCAACCGUGGAGGGUCAUUGGAAACUGGGAGACUUGAGUGCAGAAGAGGAAAGUGGAAUUCCAUGUGUAGCGGUGAAAUGCGUAGAGAUAUGGAGGAACACCAGUGGCGAAGGCGACUUUCUGGUCUGUAACUGACACUGAGG